rnacentral:rRNA from 1 species
CUCUCCCGAAAAACCUUUUCCGGGGGUACCCUCUGCUCCAUGCAUUUUAGUAAAUAGCCGCAGUAUUUUGACUGUGCUAAGGUAGCUUAAUAAUUUGCCUCUUAAUUGGAGGCUGGAAUAAACGAGAGAACGACUUUCCCGCUUUCCUUGCUACAUAAUAAAUUUAACUUGAUAUUUGCUUCAAAAAGAGCAACUUCUUAAAAAGACGAUAAGACCCUAUGAAACUUAAUUUACUAAAAAAUUAAAUUUUGACAAAUCCAAAAUAAUCCCUCUUUUAUUGAAUUAAGCUGGGGCGGCAUCUAAACCUCUUUAGAAAAAAUAACAUAAAUCAAUGGCCUGCAAGAUCUUGAAAUUUACAAGAUUUAAACAAAGUUACUUUAGGGAUAACAGCACAAUUUUCUCAUAUAGCUCUUAUAGAAGAGAAAGACUUGUGACCUCGAUGUUGAAUUGAGACCCCUAAAUAUUUAAGCAGAAAUUACUUUAGGAAGUCUGUUCGACUUUUAAACUCUC